UACGUAGGGUGCAAGCGUUGUCCGGAAUUAUUGGGCGUAAAGAGCGCGCAGGCGGUCUAUCAAGUCAGAUGUGAAAUAUCCAGGCUUAACCUGGAGGGGUCAUUUGAAACUGGUAGACUAGAGUACAGCAGAGGAUAGUGGAAUUCCCGGUGUAGUGGUGAAAUGCGUAGAUAUCGGGAGGAACACCAGUGGCGAAGGCGACUAUCUGGGCUGAAACUGACGCUGAGGCGCGAAGGCUA
rnacentral:rRNA from 1 species